UAUAAGGGAGGGCAUGGGUGGAAAAGAGAGAGACACAGAGAGAGAGAGAACAAGAGGAGAGACUCUUCCAGCCUUGACUUUGAGAGGAGGCCACCCUGUGCUUGCUCUGUUUUCAUAAGCUCAAGGAGACAACACAGACCUUCUUGGAAAAAUAAAAACAAGCAGCUUCAGCAGGAGGAGAAACUGGCGGCCACACGAGAAGAACCAACAACUUGCUAAACUGGACUUUGGGUGAUGUCUGCCCCCCGCUCCCGCCGCGUCCCCCUCCUGGUCUGCUCGGGCAACACAGCAGCUCUUCCCCCCUCUUCCCGCCCUCCUCACCAGCCUUCCCAGUAACAAUUGCUCUCACCUCGCCUCUCCUCCCUCCUCAGUCCUUCGAACUGGGGCAAAACGAGAGAGGCAAGAAAACACGCGCGCGCACACACGGCGCUAUCUUGCGGGUGAUGACUGUGAUAAUUGGACAAGGGCCGACACAGCUGAAGGAAACAGGAAGACUGCACGUCACAGUCCGACUGACGUACCCGGCCCCGGCACCCAAUCGCAAUCGAGAGGCGCCUUCGGAUUCAAGGGGGGAUAGCGAGGCAAGAGAACUUGGGAGGAAAAAAAAAAUA